rnacentral:rRNA from 1 species
UACGUAGGGUGCAAGCGUUAAUCGGAAUUACUGGGCGUAAAGCGUGCGCAGGCGGUUCGCUAAGACAGAUGUGAAAUCCCCGGGCUUAACCUGGGAACUGCAUUUGUGACUGGCGGGCUAGAGUAUGGCAGAGGGGGGUAGAAUUCCACGUGUAGCAGUGAAAUGCGUAGAGAUGUGGAGGAAUAUCGAUGGCGAAGGCAGCCCCCUGGGCCAAUACUGACGCUCAUGCACGAAAGCGUGGGGAGCAAACAGG